AGGUAGAUAGGGCAGAGGUGGAAGUGCGGUAACGCAUGGAGCUGACUGUUACUAAUAGGUCGAGGGCAUAACCAAG
rnacentral:rRNA from 1 species